AUUGAACGCUGGCGGCAUGCCUUACACAUGCAAGUCGAACGGUAACAGGUCUUCGGAUGCUGACGAGUGGCGAACGGGUGAGUAAUGCAUCGGAACGUGCCCAGUUGUGGGGGAUAACUGCUCGAAAGAGCAGCUAAUACCGCAUACGACCUGAGGGUGAAAGCGGGGGAUCGCAAGACCUCGCGCAAUUGGAGCGGCCGAUGUCAGAUUAGGUAGUUGGUGGGGUAAAGGCCUACCAAGCCGACGAUCUGUAGUUGGUCUGAGAGGACGACCAGCCACACUGGGACUGAGACACGGCCCAGACUCCUACGGGAGGCAGCAGUGGGGAAUUUUGGACAAUGGGCGCAAGCCUGAUCCAGCAAUGCCGCGUGCAGGAAGAAGGCCUUCGGGUUGUAAACUGCUUUUGUCAGGGAAGAAAUCUUCUGGGUUAAUACCUCGGGAGGAUGACGGUACCUGAAGAAUAAGCACCGGCUAACUACGUGCCAGCCGCCGCGGUAACAC
rnacentral:rRNA from 1 species